AGGGAAUCUUCCGCAAUGGACGAAAGUCUGACAGAGCAACGCCGCGUGAAUGAAGAAGGCCUUCGGGUCGUAAAACUCUGUUGCCGGGGAAGAACAAGUGCCGUUCGAACAGGGCGGUGCCUUGACGGUACCCGGCCAGAAAGCCACGGCUAACUACGUACCAGCAGCCGCGGUAAUACGUAGGUGGCAAGCGUUGUCCGGAAUUAUUGGGCGUAAAGCGCGCGCAGGCGGUUUCUUAAGUCUGAUGUGAAAUCUUGCGGCUCAACCGCAAGCGGUCAUUGGAAACUGGGAGGCUUGAGUGCAGAAGAGGAGAGUGGAAUUCCACGUGUAGCGGUGAAAUGCGUAGAGAUGUGGAGGAACACCAGUGGCGAAGGCGGCUCUCUGGUCUGUAACUGACGCUGAGGCGCGAAAGCGUGGGGAGCAAAC
rnacentral:rRNA from 1 species